GACGAACACUGGCGGCGUGCCUAAUACAUGCAAGUUGAGCGCUGAAGGUUGGUACUUGUACCAACUGGAUGAGCAGCGAACGGGUGAGUAACGCGUGGGGAAUCUGCCUUUGAGCGGGGGACAACAUUUGGAAACGAACGCUAAUACCGCAUAAAAACUUUAAACACAAGUUUUAAGUUUGAAAGAUGCAAUUGCAUCACUCAAAGAUGAUCCCGCGUUGUAUUAGCUAGUUGGUGAGGUAAAGGCUCACCAAGGCGAUGAUACAUAGCCGACCUGAGAGGGUGAUCAGCCACAUUGGGACUGAGACACGGCCCAAACUCCUACGGGAGGCAGCAGUAGGGAAUCUUCGGCAAUGGACGAAAGUCUGACCGAGCAACGCCGCGUGAGUGAAGAAGGUUUUCGGAUCGUAAAACUCUGUUGGUAGAGAAGAACGUUGGUGAGAGUGGAAAGCUCAUCAAGUGACGGUAACUACCCAGAAAGGGACGGCUAACUACGUG
rnacentral:rRNA from 1 species